UUUCGCAAUGCCCGAAAGGGUGACGAAGCGACGCCGCGUGAGUGAGGAAGGCCUUCGGGUUGUAAAGCUCUGUCAGGAGUUAAGAAAUAUAAGUGUGUUAAUACCACAUUUAUUUGACGAAGGCUCCAAAGGAAGCCACGGCUAACUCUGUGCCAGCAGCCGCGGUAAUACAGAGGUGGCAAGCGUUGUUCGGAAUUAUUGGGCGUAAAGAGCACGUAGGUGGGUUUGUAAGUCAGAUGUGAAAGCCUUCUGUUCAACGGAAGAAUUGCAUCUGAAACUGCGAGUCUUGAGUGUAGGAGGGGAGAAUGGAACUUCUGGUGGAGCGGUGAAACGCGUAGAUAUCAGAAGGAACGCCGGCGGCGAAAGCGAUUCUCUGGCCUAUUACUGACACUCGGUGUGCGAAAGCUAGGGGAGCAAACGGGAUUAGAUACCCCGGUAGUCCCAGCUGUAAACGAUGGGCACUAAGUAGAGGGGUUUU
rnacentral:rRNA from 1 species